CGAUUUCGGUCAAAUCUUGAAGCAUUUUAGUGGCGGACGGGUGAGUAACGCGUGGGUAACCUGCCCUGUACAGGGGGACGACAGUUGGAAACGGCUGCUAAUACCGCAUAAGCGCACAGCAUCGCAUGAUGCAGUGUGAAAAACUCCGGUGGUAUAAGAUGGACCCGCGUUGGAUUAGCUGGUUGGUGGGGUAACGGCCUACCAAGGCGACGAUCCAUAGCCGGCCUGAGAGGGUGAACGGCCACAUUGGGACUGAGACACGGCCCAGACUCC
rnacentral:rRNA from 1 species